UAGUGAGUUUGAUCCUGGCUCAGGAUGAACGCUGGCGGUCUGCUUAACACAUGCAAGUCGAACGCAAGUAGAAAUACUUGAGUGGCGGACGGGUGAGUAACGCGUGAGAAUCUGCCUUCUGGUCGGGGACAACCACUGGAAAACCGGUGGCUAAUACCGGAUAUGCCUAUGGGGUGAAAGAUUAAAUUGCCUGAAGGUGAGCUCGCGUCUGAUUAGCUAGUUGGUGAGGUAAUGGCUC
rnacentral:rRNA from 1 species